rnacentral:tRNA from 1 species
CAGAAUAUAGUAUUUUAUAUGCAACCCGCUUACACCGGGAUAAUAGAGCUUGCUCUUAUUCUGA